GACAGAGGGUGCAAACGUUGUUCGGAAUUACUGGGCAUAAAGAGCACGUAGGUGGUUCGCUAAGUUACGUGUGAAAUCCCCCGGCUCAACCGGGGAAUUGCGCGUGAUACUGGCGGACUCGAGGCGGGUAGGGGUGAGCGGAACUCCAGGUGGAGCGGUGAAAUGCGUAGAUAUCUGGAGGAACACCGGUGGCGAAAGCGGCUCACUGGACCCGAUCUGACACUGAGGUGCGAAAGCUAGGGUAGCAAACGGG
rnacentral:ncRNA from 2 species